rnacentral:tRNA from 1 species
GGCAGGAUGGCGUAAUCGGUUAAGGCGUCGCCUCGGAUAGGCGUAGGUUGCGGGUUCGAUCCCCGCUCCUAGCCC